AUUGAACGCUGGCGGCAGGCCUAACACAUGCAAGUCGAACGAGUGGCGGACGGGUGAGUAAUGUCUGGGAAACUGCCCGACGGAGGGGGAUAACUACUGGAAACGGUAGCUAAUACCGCAUACCAUCGGAUGUGCCCAGAUGGGAUUAGCUAGUAGGUGGGGUAACGGCUCACCACGGCGACGAUCCCUAGCUGGUCUGAGGGGAUGACCAGCCACCCUGGAAGUGAGGCACGGUACAGACUCCAACGGGAGGCGGCAGUGGGGGAUAUUGGACAAUGGACGCAAGCCGGAUGCAGCCGUGCCGCGUGUAGGAAGAGGGCCUUCGGGUUGUAAGUUACUUUCAGCGAGGAGGCGUUACUCGCAGAAGAAGCACCGGCUAACUCCGUGCCAGCAGCCGCGGUAAUUC
rnacentral:rRNA from 1 species